GAGUGGAAUCGUGGCUCCGGGGAAUAGCCAUUACUCAUCAAAGGCCGGGGCAGCCCGCGUCUUUGUGUGCCCUCCGCAACCCGCCCCGUGCCUGGCCACAGGCCCCGGCUGCCAUGCUCAGGGCUGCGGGUGGAGCUGGGAGCGUGUGUGGGCUGAGCCGGUGCUGGCAGCAGCGUGGCCCCUGGUGGGCUUCCCGGAGGAAGGGGUGUGGAGCAGGGCAGCAGCAGGGCUGGCCAGGGUUCUAGAAGACACCAGUGAGAAGGGUGGGCUCCAGGGACCCUUGGGUGUUCCCAACUUGACAAGAGCUCUGCCAGGAGUGUGAGCGACAGCUCUAUGGCUGGCCCAGACAAGGCCUUGAUUUCCUCCAGCAGGGCUGGCCCGGUGCCCCACAGGGAGAGUGGGGACUGGGGAACCGAGCGGUUCCCGCUAUACCAGACGGACCUCUGGAAGAGCUGCUGAAAGUCUCAGGAGCAGAGGGCAGAUGAGCUCUCAAGCGUGCCUCGGAUUAAAGAUCUGAGAAGUGGGGGUUGGAGACUCCGCUAAGGGGGCAUUCCGGGAGAAGAUUUAGGGUGCUUUUUAGCUGUGUUUUAGAGACCUAGGGGUUUCCCUUGCCGGUGCUGGUGGCAAAGGCUGCGUCUUCUACAUUAGCCUCCCUGCAUAUGUUCUGCCGUCCUGACUUCAUGCUCUUUGGAGACGCGGGCUCAGCUAGCUUAGUCCCUCUUUUCUGUGUGGCCUUGGGCAGGCCAUCCAGCCUCACACUGAAUGGUAAUCUCUGGACCUAAAGAUGGACUAUGACAGUCACCGAGGCCAGGACACUGCGCUGGGCUCCCAGUAAGGAGUUAUACGAUUAGCUCAUAUUAUUUAAGUCACUUGAUUUUUCUUUUUUCAUCGUUGUCUGGCUUUUGUUCUUUUAAUUCUCUCCUUUCCGUCUGUGCUGAUAUGGGAAAAGGUUGGUUGGAGGCAGGCAGAUGUAGAAGCUGUCUCUCGGACUGUCCGACUUCCUGGAGAUCCUCUUUCUGGUCAACAGAGGCUCAGGGAUGAGCAACAGAAAAAGAAAAAAAAAGACACAGGUAUCCCUUGGUCUCAUUCUUCCAGUGUGCCCCUGCCCUUCCUGCCUCUGAAAAUAUCCCAGCCUUUGAGAUGCGUUCCCAGCCUGCUUCUCCACCAUGCCUGACAAUGGGAGCUUCAGAGGGACCCUGGGGUCAGGACACAGCCCCUCUGUGAACCAGAGCCAGCUGCUGGGCUGGUGACUCUCUGAAGACACAUUCCUCAUGGAGCAGAGGGAGAGGAAGAGUCUGGGCAGAGCACUGGCCCCUGGCCUCCAGCCCUGACCCAAGGGCCAGUUGUUGCUGGUUUCAGACAAAGGCCUCCUCUUGAAACCUCUGUAUGUUUUGGUGCCCACUUGGGAAAUGGUGCCAACUAGGGCCUGCCUCAAGGACCAGGAGGGAGGCAUGAGGCUGGGGUGCAAAUGGAGCUCCCCUCUUGGCGCUGCUGGGCGAGGUGAGUCUGUCAUCCAGCUGGCGAGAGCCUGCUGGAGCUUGUGAGGCCCUGCGGGCCUCUUGCCUUGGAUUCCUUUCUGUGCCCUCGAUCUACAGUGCUGCUGGCCACUCUGGGGCGCCUCGGGCCUUCUUUAAGUUCUUGCCCCUCAGGAAUGAUUUCUGAGUUCGUCCUUAAUUAAGGAAGACUUCACUCAGCUUCACAGGGUGUGGCUACAAGGAUUCCAGCACCUCACUGCACCCUCUCUUCCAGUGUAAACCAAGAUCCACUGGUGUGGCCACUCCGACCAUUUGGGAAGAUGAGGAUGAAGGCCUGAACAGGUCGUUGUCCAGCCCUGCCACAGCCCCUCCCAACACUCUGCACUCAGGGUAGGAGGGAUACUGAUGGUGGAUGUUAACCAAGCCUUCGCUGCGGGCCAGGCUUCAUCUGUAUUACCUCCUUUAAGGUUUGGAUCAGUAAACAUUAGUAGUAAAUACCAUUACUACACCCCUAGGGGGAAAAAUAUAGAUGCUCAGAGGAACCAGGCAAUGUGCCCAGUGACUUAGCUGGGUACAGAAGCCUGUGACAAGGUGACACAGGCAGCAAAUGGUGGACCUAGGAUCUGGAUCCGAGCUGGACUGCCAAUAUUCAUUUCACUCAAAGCAAAAGGCCAGAAACAAAGCCCUAAACCCUUUGACAGUCAUAUGUGCCGGGGCCAAUUAGCUGCUUCGCUCCUAAUGAAGGGUGAUGAAAGUGGCAAGGAGGGGAGGAAUGUGGGAUCGAUCACAGCGAAGAAGAAUGUGUUCAUGAAGAGGUGGCUCUAGGAAGCUCCCACAGAAAGAUUAUCAAGUUGUUCAUUCAUUCAUCCCAUCAUCCACCCAAAAAAUGCACAGAGAACAGGGGCUCUGGAACCUCAUGGACCACGUUCAAGUCCCAAGUCUGCCCCUAUUCACUGUGUGGUCUCAAGAAAGUUGCUUCACUUCUCCCAGCAUCAGACAUUCAUAGGAUGGGGAUAAGGAAAGAGUCUCUCUCGUAGCAUAUGUGGAGAACGCGUGCUAUAUUACAUAGAGGACUUACGUGGAGCCUUGUGAGAAAUAGUUUUCAGCAUCAAUGUUCACUGUCCUUAAGGCUUCAACUCCUCACCGGCUUUUGGGCUAAGGUGCCAGAAGCCAAAGAUAAGCAAGACAAGCUGCUCUGCUUGAGUAGACUCAGAAGGAGACAGAACCAACAGAUACAAUGUCAUAUCAGGAGAGAGUCAUAUAGAUGCAGCCAUGUAGACAUUCAUGGUGCCAGAGAGAUCUCAGGGGAAAGCCAUUGUAUCUGGGACCUGAAGAAUAAAUAGGAGACUAUUAUUAGCAUGCAGGAAAGGAAGAGGUGAACACAUCUCAGCCUGGGGAACAAGAGGGGCAGAAUCCUCAGGGUAGCAGGAGAGGCUGGAUGUAGCUUUGGUACCAGGAGUGGGGCAGGCAGAGGGGUCUGAGGGAGCUCACACAGAUCAGGGCCUCCAUGCUCCUCUGAGAACUUUGCAUGUUGUCAGAGACAGCGAGUAACCAACAAAGGGCUGGGAAGGAUUGAGAAACAUAAGCUUCAUCUAAGACAUUCCCAGGAGUGGAUCCUGAGGGUGUCAUCUGGGUCCUGAGGAGUUCUAUGAUGGAGACACUGGAGGUUUCAGGAUGGAGUGUGGCAGGGGUGUCAGCAGGUAGGGAAGAGCAGUGGGCAGUUCUGGGUAGGACUGAGCUGCUGCAGAUAGGCGCGUCCAGUCACGGACCCAAGAUGCUCACCACACUUCUCUGUGUGCUUUCUGAUGAGUGUAAAUCUGUCCAUCUGGAGUCAGGGACUGAGAAAUAAGUGAAUGUGAAAAUAGAGAGGGGACCCAGAGAGGACCUUGAACCUACUUCUGGACCUAGUAGAAAGGACCAGGACAACAGGGUCUUAAAAAAUCAGAGCCCUUGGGCCAAUGGGAUGGCUCAGUAUAGAUUCUUGCUAUGCAAGCCUGAAGUCCUGAGUUUGACCCCUGGAACUCAUAAAAGAAGGAGAAAACUGACUCCACAAGUUAACCCUCUGGCCGUGACACAUGUGCC